rnacentral:rRNA from 1 species
CCUACGGGAGGCAGCAGUGGGGAAUAUUGGGCAAUGGAGGCAACUCUGACCCAGCAACGCCGCGUGAAUGAUGAAGGUCCUCGGAUUGUAAAGUUCUUUUCUAAGGGAAGUAGAAAGUGACGGUACCUUAGGAAUAAGUCUCGGCUAACUACGUGCCAGCAGCCGCGGUAAUACGUAGGAGGCAAGCGUUAUCCGGAAUGACUGGGCGUAAAGGGUGCGUAGGUGGUUUGACAAGUUAGUAGCGCAAGUCCGGGGCUCAACUUCGAAACUACUACUAAAACUGUUGGACUUGAGUGCAGGAGGGGCGAUCGGAAUUCGUAGUGUAGCGGUGGAAUGCGUAGAUAUUAGGAAGAACACCAGUGGCGAAGGCAGAUUGCUGGACUGUAACUGACACUGAGGCACGAAAGCGUGGGGAGCAAACAGGAUUAGAUACCCCAGUAGUC